UCUAAUGUGCUUUUCUCUUUCCAUAAGUUUUCAGUCUAUGUAAAUGGCAAGGACAGUAAAGAACAAGCUAUGAAAAAUUGCUUCCAAGACAUUGUGAUGAUUCAGGAGAUACAAGGAUGACAGCUGCAAAUAUGCUCUUGAUGAAUGUCUCACCAGCUUAAGUGGGCAGCGUGCUCAAUCAUGUGUGGUAGAACAUGCUCAACCAUGUGUGAUGGAAGAUGUCAGAAAGGUGCAGACAGCCUCUGCCCUGAGCGGUAGACCCAGGUGCUCAGGGACAUGUGGAAUCUUCCUAUUGGGCUUCCUCAUUCUAUGGAACCUUGGUGAUUCUGCUGCCUUUUAGGCAUUCCACGUCCCUGCAAAGGGCAGUGAAGACAGGCUUUGGUGCUGUUAAUCUGUUCUCAAGAAUGAAUCCUUAAGAAAAGGUCACCAAGACAUCAAUCAUCUUAGAGACUUUUCAUUUCACUCUGAAAUUCAGACUGCACAGGGACAACUCCUCCACAUUACUGCAAGCAACCAUUGGAAUGCUAACAGCAAAAUGAUUUUAAUGUCUUUUGAUUAUUACACAGUGCAUUAAUGUGAAUUCUGCACUGCUCACUGGUAUGGUAUGGAAUGUAUCAUAUCCUUAGGGUGGGUGGAGAAUGGGGGAACUGAUCGUGCAUUGUUUUCUUUGCUUAUUUUUCAAGUUGCAGAAGCAGCUGUGUGUGACUUUGAAUUGUGCUUUGAAUUUUAUUUAAAAACCAAACAAACCCCAAACCUGAUUCUCAGCUAAAGACUGUGCUGAUUAAUCUGAGACCAAACUGGCAGCUCUUUAGCCAUUCUAUGAAUAGAAUUUCUUUAACACCACUCCUUAUUCAGGCUUUGCAAGCUGAAAUAGAGACAACAACUUAAAGGUGAAAUUCACCCCAAUGUGCAGACCCUGUGCACCUCAAACCCUGGGCUCAAUGUAACCCACAAAUAUGAAAGAAAUGGGGUGUAUCCUUUUUGGUCUCUGUGUGAUACAUGAGGAAGCACUAACCAUUUUCCUAUUAUUAAAGAGUUCCCCCCAUUCUUUUUAUAUAGAAAAUCAGGUCUUAUCUACCCUAAAAGACUCCAUAUUGAUGACUGGAAACUGGUAGCAUAAUUACAUUAUGAGUACCAAGGAACUGAAACCUGAAUAACUAAGAGGGCAAGUGGUUUUUAUACAGAGUGUUAAGAAUGCUUUGGCCAAGCUGUGCUACUUUUACUCACAUUGGUGACAGCUACUCAUGUAAGUAGUGUCAUUGAUAUCAUUAGGACUCCUUGCUUGCGUAAGUGCUCACCACCAGUGUGAAUAAAGUUUUCCCAAUUGGACCUUUUGCUUUUUGUUAACACCCAUUUAAUUUUAACAUCUGAGAAACCCUGCGGAGAAAGACUCACUUUGUUUAAGAUUCCGCACAUCUUGAGACCUUAAUUAAAGGGGAUGGAAAGCUCACAAUGGAUAUUUGUAAGGAUGCAAGCAAAACCAAGGAAGACCCAACAGUUCUGAUGUUUCCAAGGUAAAAGCAAACAGGAAAAAGCUUCAAAGUCCAUUUGAACGUUUUUUGUCCAUAGGCUUAUGUGUCUCUGUCUGGCUAUGACUGAACCUCCCUUGAAUACUGAACACUGGUUUACUGCCCUUCCUCAGUGUCUCAAACUAAAAUUUAACAUUAAAAAACCCCAAGCUUCUCAGCUUUAAAUGUGAUGUUAAAAGUUAAAGUUAAAAGUAAAUCUCCACAGUGUUCAGGGUCAGAGAGCUUGAAAAUGUUGAUGCAAAGAGGCAAGUGCCCUUCCUCAAAAGCACUUUAACUUCAUGUAUGCAUUGGAACAAUCAACAGCCUUGAAUUCAUUGAAUGCAAUGUGCGAAAGGAGCUUAAGGUACCAUCAAGAGGCAAUAGAAAAUAGUCAAGCAUUUGUCCACAUGUAAAUAGUUAACUGACUGUUGUCAGACAUCAUGAUUCAAGGUUGUUCUAUUAGGCUUAACACAAAGCUGUGCGAUUACAGAAUUAUGCAAGUUGCAAAAUACAUUCAAGAUGACAAGGUAGUCUUAACCAUGGCAUUGUAAUGACAAUGAGUGAUUUUUUUUUCUAAACUUAUUUUAGCCUACACAGCACAGGUAGGGCAUCAGAUACUCAGUAUUGUCCUCAUUUUAUUCCAUUUUUCUGCUGGGAUGAAUGAGGCAAAAGGAAGUCAAGUGUCUUGUCCAAGUGCAUACAUUCAUGCCAAAAAUGUGCAACAUUUAUAGGCCUGAUUUUCAAAAUUGCCAAACCCAACCAUUCAAAAAAUCAUAAGUCAGGCCCCCACAACAUCAUGAAAUAUUUUUAAAAAUAAUACAAUUUGUAUUUUUUUUUCUUUCUGGAUUUUGAAGCUUUAGGAUGCAUUUGGGUUAUGUUCUUAAACUUUUCUCCACAACUAUGUGGGCUAGACACUUUUGAAAUGAAAGCUGAGAGUCUUAGGCCAUGUCUACACUACGAAAUUACUCCAGUUUUACAGAAGUCAAUUUUUGGGAACAGAUUGUAUAAAGUCAAGUGCAGGUGUCCACAUUAAGCACAUUAAUUCGGUGUGUGUCCACAGUACCGUGGCAAGCGUCAACAUUCCAAGCCGUGCACUGUGGGUAGCUAUCCUGCUAUGCUGCCCAUUGGCUGAGCUCCCAAUGCCUGAUGGGGCCAAAAAUUUGUCUUGGGUGGUUAUGGGUAAAUGUCGUCAGUCAGCCCUCCCUCCCUCCGUGAAAGCAACAGGAGACAAUCAUUUUGCGCCCUUUUCCCUGGAUUGCCCAAGCAGACGCCAUAGCAUGGCAAGCAUGGAGCCCAUUCAGCUCACCGCAGCAGUUAUGACCGUUGUAAACGCCUCUCGCAUUAUUGUGCAGUUUAUGAAGAACCAGCACCUGAAAAACCCGGCAAGGAGGCGACGGCAGCGCUGUGAUGAGGACAUGAGUACAGAUUUCUCUAAAACCGCGGUCCCCAGCAAUUUGGAGAUCAUGGUGUUACUGGGGCAGGCUCAUGCUGUGGAACGCCGAUUCUGGGCCCGGGAAACAAACACACAGAGUGGUGGGACUGCAUAGUGUUGCAGGUUUGGGAUGAUUCCCAGUGGCUCCAAAACUUUCGCAUGCAUAAGGGCACUUUCAUGGAACUUUGUGACUUGUUUUCCCCUGCCCUGAAGCGCAUGAAUACCAAGAUGAGAGCAGCCCUCACAGUUCACAAGUGAGUGGCAAUAGCCCUGUGGAAGCUUGCAAUGCCAGACAGCUUCCAGUCAGUCGGUAAUCAAUUUGGAGUGGGCAAAUCUACUGUGGGGGUUGCUGUGAUGCAAGUAGCCAGUGCAAUCAUUGAGUCUGGGAAAUGUGCAGGUCAUAGUGGAUGGCUUUGCUGCCAUGGGAUUCCCUAACUGUGGUGGGGCUAUAGACGGAAUGCAUAUCCCUAUCUUGGGACCAGACCACCAGGGCAGCCAGUACAUAAACCGCAAGGGUUACUUUUCAAUGGUGCUGCAAGCACUGGUGGAUCACAAGGGAUGUUUCACCAACAUCAGCAUGGGAUGGCCAGGAAAGGUUCAUGACUUUCGCAUCUUCAGGAACUCUGUUCUGUUUAAACAGCUGCAGGAAGGGAUUUACUUCCCAGAGCAGAAAAUAACUGUUGGGGAUGUUGAAAUGCCUAUAGUUAUCCUUGGGGACACAGCCUACCCCUUAAUGCCCUGGCUCAUGAAGCCGUACACAGGCACCCUGGACAGUAGUAAGGCGCUGUUCAACUAUAGGCUGAGCAAGUGCAGAAUGGUGGUAGAGUGUGCAUUUGGACAUUUAAAGGGUCGCUGGUGCAGUUUACUGACUGACUCAGACCUCAGCGAAACCAAUAUUCCCAUUGUUAUUGCUGCUUGCUGUGUGUGCCACAAUCUCUGUGAGAGUAAGGGGGAGAUGUGUAUGGCUGGGUGGGAGGCUGAGGCAAAUUGCCUGGCCACUGAAUAUGUGCAGCCAGACACAAGGGCAGUUAGAAGAGCACAGCAGGAAGUGCUGCACAUCAGAAAAGUUUUUAAAACCAGUUUCAUGACUGGCCAGGGUACUGUGUGACACUGUUUGUUUCUCUUGAUGAAAACCCGCCCCCUUGGUUGACUCUAAAUUCCCUGUAAGCCACCAGCCCUCCCCCCUCGAUCACAGCUUGCUUGCA